rnacentral:lncRNA from 1 species
UGUACGUCCUUCCUGUUGUCGUGACAGGUUCAGACAGGAAAAAUGCGCAGAUACAGCAUAAGGAAAGAAUGUAUUGUCAUCAACUGUAAGAAAAAAAACUGGCAGCUAUAAUGGACCACAAGUCUAACAAGAAAAGAAUCUUGGAUUGGACUGUGUGGCGAAAUCAAAAAAGAAAUAGCAUAAGAGAAAUUGAGGGUAAUUCCACAUAUCCAGGAAAAGACUGCUCGGUGCACAUCUGUAGAGAAUCACCAGGGAAAGGUAAGAAAAAAAGGUGUUCCUUGGGGGGGGGAAGUUAUUUGUUAUUUUGUUAUAGUCUUUUGGAUUGAGUUUUGGGAAGUGACCCUACAUGAAUUUAUUCUCCCUAGGAUUGUUCAGUGAGGAUUUACCUGCAAAGAUCUCCACCCUUCCCCAGGCUUUUCACCCUCCCCUCCUUUCUAGUGUCAUUGAAAAAGCCUCCUCUCCCACCUGUGUUCACUGUGUUGUGAACUCAUCACCUG